rnacentral:rRNA from 1 species
ACGGGUAGCCGGCCUGAGAGGGCGACCGGCCACACUGGGACUGAGACACGGCCCAGACUCCUACGGGAGGCAGCAGUGGGGAAUAUUGCGCAAUGGGCGAAAGCCUGACGCAGCGACGCCGCGUGAGGGAUGACGGCCUUCGGGUUGUAAACCUCUUUCAGCUCCGACGAAGCGAGAGUGACGGUAGGAGCAGAAGAAGCACCGGCCAACUACGUGCCAGCAGCCGCGGUAAUACGUAGGGUGCAAGCGUUGUCCGGAAUUAUUGGGCGUAAAGAGCUCGUAGGCGGUCUGUCGCGUCGAAUGUGAAAACCCGGGGCUCAACCUCGGGCCUGCAUUCGAUACGGGCAGACUAGAGUUCGGUAGGGGAGUCUGGAAUUCCUGGUGUAGCGGUGAAAUGCGCAGAUAUCAGGAGGAACACCGGUGGCGAAGGCGGGACUCUGGGCCGAUACUGACGCUGAGGAGCGAAAGCGUGGGGAGCAA